rnacentral:pre_miRNA from 1 species
UCUCCCAACCCUCGUACCAGUGCCGCACCUCAGACCCUGGUACAGGCAUGGGGGGCA